UUUCCCUGGGCGGCGAGCAUGUGACGAGUGGCUCAGUGCUUGGCAUGGUGUUAUCUCCGUCCCCGUGAUACCCAAGGCCUCAUGGCACCAAGGACAAAGGGCAGGGCUUGCGGUGGUGUGGUUAAGCGGUGGCGGCAGAAAAUACAACUCGCAGAUGACCUCGUGACGUCACUGGAGGGGAGGGCGGCCCAACGUGACGUCAAGAAGGGAGGAUAAUGAUGAGAGAAGAGUAUUCUUGGUGCCCCGCCAUGCCGAGCCCCGCCGAGCCCCGCCCCGUCCCGCCGUGGCUGUGGUAACAAUUUCUCGUCUCUCCCCGUCAAUAUUUAGCGUAAUUUCCAGGCUUUUCCAGGUGUUUUCAGGUGUUUUCUAGACUGGUGUGUAGGAGGAGGAGGAGGAGGAGGAGGUGGAAAGGAGAGAAAGUGUGUGAGGGAGAGGUAAGAACAGGAGGAGAAGAGGAAAAAAAUGUUUCCACCCAAUAUCAUUAUUUUUUUUUUUAUUAGUGGAGUUGGUAUUGUUUUGAUAUUUAAUUUAUUAUCAGGAGAAUGUAACAAGUUAUAAUGUAUAAUAAAAUUCGCUCUAGCUGUAAUUUUGUUUGUCGAUAAAAUAACUCUUUCGUCAUUUUAUUUAUUUCAACUUUUUUUUCUUAUUAGGA